AGCCAUGAAAGACGAGGAGAAGA
rnacentral:piRNA from 1 species